UACGAAGGGAGCAAGCGUUACUCGGAAUUACUGGGCGUAGAGCGUGCGUAGGUGGUUUGUUAAGUCUGUUGUGAAAGCCCCGGGCUCAACCUGGGAAUGGCAAUGGAUACUGGCAGGCUAGAGUGCGGUAGAGGGUAGUGGAAUUCCCGGUGUAGCGGUGAAAUGCGUAGAUAUCGUAAGGAAGACCAGUGGCGAAGGCGAAUCUCUGGACAGUUACUGACACUGAGGCACGAAGGCCAGGGGAGCAAACGGG
rnacentral:rRNA from 1 species